UGGUCUUUUAUUAUUAAGAGGAGGAUGUUGUUGUUUUAGAAGAAGAAGUGUUAUUAUAUUAAGAGGAGGAGGAUGAUUUUUUUUAUGAAGAAUUGGAAAUAUAAUAAUAAGCCUAGCAUCAUGAUUUUUUUUAAGAAGUUUUUAUAUUGUCCAAAGUGAACUAGUCUGUUUUUCCUUUAAGGAGGGGUCACAAUAAUAGUCAAACAACUUUUAACAACGUAUCUCUUGUCUCUCGCAUCUAAAAAGAACGCCGCGAAAUGCGAUAAGUAAUGUGAAUUGCAAAAUUCGGGGACUCAUCGAAUCUUUGAACGCACCUUGCGCUCCCCGGUAUUCCCGGCAGCACACCUGGUCGAGCGUCGAGAAUUCUCAAGCUUAUCCCUGUUUUUCAUCUUCCCCUUGGUUGUUGGGCUUUGCCGUGCCCCUCUUUAUUGAGGGAACGGCUGGCCUUAAAAGCAUUAGCUGACUCUCAUGUAGGAUUGGUUCUACUCUCCGUGAUAAUAUUUCUGACCCAC
rnacentral:rRNA from 1 species